rnacentral:pre_miRNA from 1 species
AAAAAGACAAAUCAUGGGUUUCCGUGUCCAACUUUGACUGUCCGUCUUAUAUGAAAUUUUUUUAUAAUUCGUAUUUUCAUUGUUGUUAGAUGAUAAAACAUGAUUAAUAUUUUAUGCGUGACUUGUCUUUUUAUUUUUUUUCAUAAUUUUUUCAAAUAAGACGGACGGUCAAACGUUGGACACGGAAACC